rnacentral:rRNA from 1 species
UACGUAGGGUGCAAGCGUUAAUCGGAAUUACUGGGCGUAAAGCGUGCGCAGGCGGUUCUAUAAGACAGAUGUGAAAUCCCCGGGCUCAACCUGGGAACUGCAUUUGUGACUGUAGAGCUGGAGUGCGGCAGAGGGGGAUGGAAUUCCGCGUGUAGCAGUGAAGUGCGUAGAUAUGCGGAGGAACACCGAUGGCGAAGGCAAUCCCCUGGGCCUGCACUGACGCUCAUGCACGAAAGCGUGGGGAGCAAACAGG